rnacentral:rRNA from 1 species
AGAGUUUGAUCCUGGCUCAGGAUGAACGCUAGCGAUAGGCUUAACACAUGCAAGUCGAGGGGCAUCACGAAUUAGCAAUAGUUUGGUGGCGACCGGCGCACGGGUGCGUAACACGUAUACAACCUACCUUCAAUUGGGGGAUAACCUGGAGAAAUUCGGACUAAUAUCCCAUAGUAAACGGAAGAGGCAUCUUUUUUGUUUUAAAGAUUUAUUGAUUGGAGAUGGGUAUGCGUAGGAUUAGCUAGUUGGUAAGGUAACGGCUUACCAAGGCGACGAUCCUUAGGGGUUCUGAGAGGAAGGUCCCCCACACUGGUACUGAGACACGGACCAGACUCCUACGGGAGGCAGCAGUGAGGAAUAUUGGUCAAUGGGCGAGAGCCUGAACCAGCCAAGUCGCGUGAAGGAUGACUGUCUUAUGGAUUGUAAACUUCUUUUGUAGGGGAAUAAAGAGGGGCACGUGUGCCUCAGUGAAUGUACCCUACGAAUAAGCAUCGGCUAACUCCGUGCCAGCAGCCGCGGUAAUACGGAGGAUGCAAGCGUUAUCCGGAUUUAUUGGGUUUAAAGGGUGCGUAGGCGGUAUUACAAGUCAGGGGUGAAAUCUUGGUGCUUAACAUUAAAAUUGCCUUUGAAACUGUGGUACUUGAGUGUAAAAGAGGUAGGCGGAAUGUGUUGUGUAGCGGUGAAAUGCAUAGAUAUAACACAGAACCCCGAUUGCGAAGGCAGCUUACUAUCAUACAACUGACGCUGAUGCACGAAAGCGUGGGGAUCAAACAGGAUUAGAUACCCUGGUAGUCCACGCAGUAAACGAUGAUUACUAGCUGUUAGCGAUAUACUGUUAGUGGCUAAGCGAAAGCGAUAAGUAAUCCACCUGGGGAGUACGUUCGCAAGAAUGAAACUCAAAGGAAUUGACGGGGGCCCGCACAAGCGGAGGAACAUGUG